rnacentral:tRNA from 1 species
GCGGGAAUAGCUCAGUUGGUAGAGCACGACCUUGCCAAGNNGCCAAGGUCGGGGUCGCGAGUUCGAGUCUCGUUUCCCGCUCCA